rnacentral:rRNA from 1 species
AUUGAACGCUGGCGGCAGGCCUAACACAUGCAAGUCGAGCGAGCGGCGGACGGGUGAGUAAUGUAUGGGGAACUGCCCGAUAGAGGGGGAUAACUACUGGAAACGGUGGCUAAUACCGCAUACCAUCGGAUGAGCCCAUAUGGGAUUAGCUAGUUGGUGGGGUAACGGCUCACCUAGGCGACGAUCCCUAGCUGGUCUGAGAGGAUGACCAGCCACACUGGGACUGAGACACGGCCCAGACUCCUACGGGAGGCAGCAGUGGGGAAUAUUGCACAAUGGGCGCAAGCCUGAUGCAGCCAUGCCGCGUGUAUGAAGAAGGCCUUAGGGUUGUAAAGUACUUUCAGCGGGGAGGCGUUACCCGCAGAAGAAGCACCGGCUAACUCCGUGCCAGCAGCCGCGGUAAUUC